rnacentral:rRNA from 1 species
GCAGUCGUACGCUUCUUUUUCCACCGGAGCUUGCUCCACCGGAAAAAGAAGAGUGGCGAACGGGUGAGUAACACGUGGGUAACCUGCCCAUCAGAAGGGGAUAACACUUGGAAACAGGUGCUAAUACCGUAUAACAAUCGAAACCGCAUGGUUUUGAUUUGAAAGGCGCUUUCGGGUGUCGCUGAUGGAUGGACCCGCGGUGCAUUAGCUAGUUGGUGAGGUAACGGCUCACCAAGGCCACGAUGCAUAGCCGACCUGAGAGGGUGAUCGGCCACAUUGGGACUGAGACACGGCCCAAACUCCUACGGGAGGCAGCAGUAGGGAAUCUUCGGCAAUGGACGAAAGUCUGACCGAGCAACGCCGCGUGAGUGAAGAAGGUUUUCGGAUCGUAAAACUCUGUUGUUAGAGAAGAACAAGGAUGAGAGUAACUGUUCAUCCCUUGACGGUAUCUAACCAGAAAGCCACGGCUAACUACGUGCCAGCAGCCGCGGUAAUACGUAGGUGGCAAGCGUUGUCCGGAUUUAUUGGGCGUAAAGCGAGCGCAGGCGGUUUCUUAAGUCUGAUGUGAAAGCCCCCGGCUCAACCGGGGAGGGUCAUUGGAAACUGGGAGACUUGAGUGCAGAAGAGGAGAGUGGAAUUCCAUGUGUAGCGGUGAAAUGCGUAGAUAUAUGGAGGAACACCAGUGGCGAACGCGGCUCUCUGGUCUGUAACUGACGCUGAGGCUCGAAAGCGUGGGGAGCAAACAGGAUUAGAUACCCUGGUAGUCCACGCCGUAAACGAUGAGUGCUAAGUGUUGGAGGGUUUCCGCCCUUCAGUGCUGCAGCUAACGCAUUAAGCACUCCGCCUGGGGAGUACGACCGCAAGGUUGAAACUCAAAGGAAUUGACGGGGGCCCGCACAAGCGGUGG